rnacentral:misc_RNA from 1 species
GAUGAAGAACGUAGCUAAAUGCGAUAAGUAAUGUGAAUUGCAGAAUUCAGUGAAUCAUCGAAUCUUUGAACGCACAUUGCGCCCCUUGGUAUUCCGAGGGGCAUGCCUGUUCGAGCGUUAUUUUGACCACUCCCGCUUGCGGGGUCUUGGGCCUUCGCCUCUGGGCGGGCCUUAAAAUCAGUGGCGGUGCCGUCCGGCUCUAAGCGUAGUAAAUCUCCUCGCUAUAGGGUUCCGGAGGGAUGCUGGCCAACAACCCCCAACUUUUAAGGUUGACCUCGGAUCAGGUAGGGAUACCCGCUGAACUUAAGCAUAUCAAUAAGCGGAGGA